UACAGAGGUCUCAAGCGUUGUUCGGAUUCAUUGGGCGUAAAGGGUGCGUAGGCGGCGCGGUAAGUCGGGUGUGAAAUCUUGGAGCUUAACUCCGAAACUGCAUUCGAUACUGCCUUGCUUGAGGACUGGAGAGGAGACUGGAAUUCAUGGUGUAGCAGUGAAAUGCGUAGAGAUCAUGAGGAAGACCAGUGGCGAAGGCGGGUCUCUGGACAGUUCCUGACACUGAGGCACGAAGGCCAGGGGAGCAAACGGG
rnacentral:rRNA from 1 species